AUUGAACGCUGGCGGCAGGCCUAACACAUGCAAGUCGAGCGCGAAAGUUCUUCGGAAUGAGUAAAGCGGCGGACGGGUGAGUAAUACAUGGGAAUCUGCCUGGUAGUGGGGGACAACGUUUCGAAAGGAACGCUAAUACCGCAUACGCCCUACGGGGGAAAGGGGGGAUCUUCGGACCUCUCACUAUCAGAUGAGCCCAU
rnacentral:rRNA from 1 species